GCGGACCCGUGCACACAACCGCCUCCCGCUGGUUGGCCCAUCUGAGAUGCUGUUACACAAAGCAUGUCUUCACAUUUGUUUGCCCCAACCCAAGGCCUACUGCAGGGUAAUUGUAUUUUUGAAAGUUUUCUAUCAGGACUGAUUUCCCAUUUUCACACUGCUGGUUAUGCUGAACAUAUGAAGAUUGUGAUACCACCCUAUAGUUUGUUGUAUGGGUAGUGUGUUUUGAUAUUGUAUAAACUCACUUUAGGAUAGAAUAAAUCUUGUGGUUAAAAAUUAA